CCUGAGGAACUGGCCUGUUAUGGGCUCCCCAACCUGUCCCAGACCUGCUAUAUGACCUCUGUUCCCCAGAGCCUCCUGACCCUCGUGCCUUUUGUGAAGGAGCUCAACAAACAGAGUCAACAGUGGCUUUCGCACCCAAACGCUCUGCUUUCCAAGUUGCUCACUGACAUGAACAACAGCUUCACAACAAGAAAAGGAAGCAGAAGAAAUCCACCCUCUUCACGUUCCUGCGCACCAUUGCUCUGCAACACCCAGACUCUAGACUUCAUUUCUAUCAAAUUAUGGAGACUGUAAUUUUUUUUUUUUAACUAAUUUUUAUCAGGAAAGAUAUUCAAGAUCAUUCCCCUCCCUGCCCUGUUUGGAUCUUAUGUGUUUCUCUAAUUUUUUUGAGCAGUGUAUAUACUGUAUAUACAAGGUCAGAGCACAACAACUUCUUAAAAAAGUUAAAGAACGUCAUAAAAAGUUGAAAUGCGUGGCCACUGCCAAUGAGAAAUAGAGGUAAACUCAACAGCAAACAACAGAUGUUUUGUUCCCUUUUUCCUUUAAUUCUCUGCUGCGUCAAUAAUCUGCACCCAGAGACGUGCAGAGAUUCCUCAGGUUCUGCAUGUAAUACAUUUCCUACUUCAGUGGGGCUUCAGUGCCAAUAUUUACAGCUCCCUAGUCAACCAUAAGAGCCACGG
rnacentral:lncRNA from 1 species